UCGCCUGUUUAUCAAAAACAUCGCCGCGCAAAUCGCGCGGUCAGAUCUGCCCAGUGGGUUUCCUAAACGGCCGCGGUAUCCUAACCGUGCUAAGGUAGCGUAAUCAUUAGCUCUUUAAUUGAGAGCCAGUAUGAAAGAUUCGACGAAAAAUCGCCUUUCUCCCGAACGCCGCCAACUUGCUUUCUAAGUUAAAAAGCUUACAAACCUCUAAAGGACGACAAGACCCUGUAAAACUUUACUCGUCGAAGAAUUUAAACCCGGAACCGCUCCUAAUUCUUUAAGAGUUCGACUGGGGCGGUAUCCUUCACCCUCAAACGAAAAUUACUCUAACACUGUGAUUGAAACCAACGAACUUCCUUAAAUAAAGAACAAGUUACUUCAGGGAUAACAGCGCGAUGGGAGUAUAGAGCCCUUAUCGACACUCCCGCUUACGACCUCGAUGUUGAAUUGAAGCUUCUCUGCAGAGCAGAAACUGCAGCUAGAAAGUCUGUUCGACUUUAAAAUUUUCACAUGAUCUGAGUUCCAAACCGGA
rnacentral:rRNA from 1 species